rnacentral:rRNA from 1 species
GGUCGCAAGACUGAAACUCAAAGGAAUUGACGGGGACCCGCACAAGCAGUGGAGUAUGUGGUUUAAUUCGAAGCAACGCGAAGAACCUUACCAGGUCUUGACAUCCCUUUGACCGGUCUAGAGAUAGGCCUUUCCUUCGGGACAGAGGAGACAGGUGGUGCAUGGUUGUCGUCAGCUCGUGUCGUGAGAUGUUGGGUUAAGUCCCGCAACGAGCGCAACCCUUAUGCUUAGUUGCCAGCAGGUCAAGCUGGGC